rnacentral:lncRNA from 1 species
CACCAUGUUCAGCACAGACGGGUCCAGGCUGAUGGUGAUAAGGUCCGACUCCGUGAUUGGCGUGUAUGACUGCAGCAACUUCAAGGAAAUCAGGAAUUUCGAGAUCCCCAAUUUGGCCACGGCAGCAUUGUCCCCGUGCGGGACCUAUCUUCAGAGUUUCCAGAAAUCCUCAACGCCACAGGUGAAGAAUGUGAUCUUGUGGAAAGUUGAGUCUGGGGAGUCUGUUUAUCAGCUACUCCAGAAGAACAUAACAAAAACGACAUGGUACAUGAUAUUAGUCAGGAUCAUCAGUUGGUCAAUGAUAGAUUACUCAUGAUAGUGUGNNNNNNNNNNNNNNNNNNNNNNNNNNNNNNNNNNNNNNNNNNNNNNNNNNNNNNNNNNNNNNNNNNNNNNNNNNNNNNNNNNNNNNNNNNNNNNNNNNNNNNNNNNNNNNNNNNNNNNNNNNNNNNNNNNNNNNNNNNNNNNNNNNNNNNNNNNNNNNNNNNNNNNNNNNNNNNNNNNNNNNNNNNNNNNNNNNAAUAUAGGCUGAGAGUUCCUGGAUUGCUGCAGUUGAGCUCUCUAAAACUCUGGGGUCCCACAUUGCAGCAUUUGUUCCAGAAUCUAAGGUUUGUGUUUCAUGGCUAUCUUGAAUUAGUAAGGGACUGGUUCAUAAACUUGACUAAUGUGGCAACUCACGAAAAGUUCUAUGACCAGGCCAGAGCAGACAACAAUGUGAUGAACAGUAUAAGUAGCUAUAAUGUCUAGUUGCGUUCCUUUUUUAUUAGACAUUAGUUUCAAGCUGACUUUAUGACCUGGAACCUAUUAAUAACAAACUCUUAGAUUGGUUGGUUUGGUAUCUGAUGCUGAUUCAAAUAACUAGUAGAGAUUCCGGUUCUUAAAGGAUGACACAGGUGUUUUUGACUGCUCCUUUUGGUGUUUAAUGAAUACAGAGAUCACUUGUAUUACAUGAUAGCAAAGAGCAUGAUGACUUAGGAAGAUCCAUGUUUCGCACUGUGUACUGUAGAGAAAAAUAGUCUUUAUUUGCAGCGACCUACUGUUUAGUGUAUUUUACGGUCAGCCAUUACAGCUUUAAAGCAUGCGGGUUUUAUAAUUUUGAAUGGCGUUUCCUUCUUGUCUGGAGAGAAAUGAGUUUGGUGCUUAAAAGUAGGUUUUUAGAAAGUUUUGUCCCUUGUUAUUAUAUACGAAUGGUCCUUUAUGUAUAUCAAGUAACUUGACCUUGAUAAGAUAUUUGUGGUAUAUAGGGUGUCCCUGCCAGUGUCCAAAUAUUUGCGUGUAGGGAGGAUCCGCAGAGUCAACCUGUUGCACGGCGAAGUUUCUUCCGCUGCUCAUCAGUGCAGCUGCACUGGCAUUAUGGGUCCACUGGACUUCUGGUUGUGGUGCAGUCUGAUGUUGAUAAAACCAACCAGAGUUACUAUGGGGAAUCGAAGUUACUUGACAACAGAUGGGACUCAUGAAGGGCUCGUGCCUCUUCGUAAGUCUUUAUUUGUUUUCUUACUAAAACUGCCUAUAUAAUUAUUUUCUUGAGACUUAUCUUUUGCAGUUUUGGUGCUUUAUCAGGUAAAGAGGGACCUAUUCAUGAUGUUCAAUGGUCAUACUCUGGUUCAGAGUUUGCUGUUGUUAUGGCUGUAUCCUUCACUGUUUUCAACUAGUAUCAUCACAUUUAUCACGUGGGAGUAUGAUGGACAAACAUCCAUCUUCUUAUUAAGUUUGUAUCCUCAAGGAUUCAGCUGGUGGAACUUUGUAAUGAUUGUUCUUACUCAUUAGUAGUUAAUUUGAGCUCUAGAAGGUACUAGGUUGUGUGAUCUCAGUUGGAUCUUGGCCUGUGAUGGAAGAUUAGGACGCUCAACUAAUAUGGAGUAAGGUAAAUUGUGAUUAACUCUGAUAUCGUUGUGUUAUGGUUCAGAAGUUUCUUGUAGUGACACUUCAUUAUCUACAUUAGACAUGUAGGCAUCACUUACUUCUCAUGCAUUAUUGGAACUUUGUCCUUGCAACCGUUAGCUUUCAUUUUGACUUUUCCUUGAUCUGAUCUAGUCAUACCUGCAAAGGCAACCAUUUUUGACAAGAAGUGCAAUCCACUUCUUGAGCUUGGAACGGGCCCUUAUAAUACCAUCAGAUGGAAUCUGAAGGGGAAGUGUAUCCUUGUGAAACAUUAUUUGCUAUGAGUUGAUACCGACUCACUAUUCAAGAUAGCCAUGAAACACAAACCAUGAAACACAUUACUACUCUUUAAGAAGAUGUUUGACAAGUUAUACCAGGUUAGCCUUCUCUGCAUUAUCUCGUAUGAAUUGUACUAAAUCAGCCCAAUCCUUGGUGGAAUAGAAAUGGCUAACAACUUGCACAGGCUGAAUGGAAACCAGAAUCACCCGAGAGAUUUUGUGAAGUUGCUGAACUGAUAAAGUCUGUUGACUCUCUAAAGGUGGAAGAACGAAAACCACAAGGUUUUGAUUUGUUUUGGUAAUCAGAGAGUGCUAAAGAAGACACUCGUUUCUAGAGCUAUGUAUAUUUUAGGAUCUGCUGAAGAACUUUUGCCACUUAAACAGGACAAACAGCAAAAUCAUCUCAAAAUUCUGCAAAGGUAACUUCUAUUAACAUGCCCGCACAGAAACCUGCUGCCUAUCGUCCACCACAAGUUAAGAAUGCAGCUGCUGUCCAGGCAGAGGUGAUGAUCAAAUACUUAUAACAUGUUCAAUCUAUACCAUAGCAAUGUGGGAUGCUUGCCUGAUAAUUGGUUUUUCUAUUAAUCCAGUAAUAGCAUUGUCUGAACUAGUUGGCUGUUUAUAUGGAACAUUUAGGUGGAAUUCGCUUUAAAACUUAGAAAUUGUUCUUUAAGGCUUUUACUUUUGUUAUUCUGGCUCAUGGUCUGGCUGUAGUUCCACAAGAUGGUUGUUCGACUCUAAUGUUUCUCCCUUAUUUGAAUUAUCUGCAAUGAGAUGUUCCAACACUAUAAGAGAUUAUCUCCAUUUCUAUCCGGAAAAAGCGAAACGAAACUUUGUGGAACUCAUGUGGGAUUUGUUACGUUUAAACUCAAGAUUGAAAGGCAUAAGACGGGCAAGGCUAUUGCACAUGUUUUGCUAUUACUAUCAUCUGUAUGAUUUUAUAUCCUUUCUUAUGCUCAGUUUGAAUGUGCUGCUAGACAUUUUUGGCUCAUGUAAAAAAUGCCUAGCCUUGCUACCUCUAUUUUAGCUACAGUUGAAGCCAUCAUAGUCCUCUCCAUGUCAGAUUGGCUAUUCAUUUGAUAUAGCACGAAAUGUUUAUCAUGUGGUUGCAGUCAGCUGAGACAUUAUGAAGGAAUUAAAACCAAAGUGCAAUCUUCUUGUUCUUCUUCUACUCUUCCCCUAUUGAAGUCAAGGGUGGAACUCAGGAGUUCUACGUCUUCCUAUAAUUUUUUUCCCCGGGGGGGGUCCCGGGUGCGGUGUCCGGGGGGAAGGGCAAGUGUUAGGGGGGUGAUUGUACUGUUUGAUUUUAACUUUUUAGGCUAUGAAAGACUGAUUUCUAAUUCUGGCCCCUAACUCACAAUGCUGGAUGAUAUUUGAUAACAGAACACUGAGCAAGAAUGCUCUGAGAAACAAGAAGAAAAGGGAGAAACAAAGAGAGAAAAAAGCUGCGGAGGCUGGUUCUGCCCCGAGUGAUUCCUGACAUCAUACUUAGUGUGAGUUCCACGUCUAGAAUCUUGGUCAGUGAUAUAAUUUCCCUCACGUAACAAAGCGGCAAUAGGGAAAAGCAGCAGCGGAGUGCCUUCUGGCAUUUGCAUUGGAGUGGAGCGAGUCCAAUGGUGCUGGAAUAUUAGCCUUGUGGAGCGAAGAUUGGAAGACAUACUUUUGAGGGGACGAUCAGAACACUUCUUUGCUCUCUAUAUACUGUUCUGUAAAUUCUUUGGGAUGAGGGGUACCAUUGUAUGAAACUAGGAACUUCUUUAUUCAAAUAAUGUUCGAAUUUCAGCAGUAACUUAUCUUUGAAAUAGCAAAAAAAUUUCCAAUCACUUAGCAUCUACUGAUUUGGCAAAUGAGUCUUGUUCCUUUGUUUCUUGGUCUAUAAAUCUAUAUAUGACGAAAGCUAUUGCAGAGAGAGCAUUCUCAGAGCUUGGGUGCUAUAUUUUGCCAAUCUGCUUGGUUGGAAAUGUUGGGUGGGUUCCUCUCUCGCUGAGGCACCUCCUCUAUUACCCCUUCAUUAUUUCACUAUUUAAUUGUAAAUUCUUAUAUUAAAGAAAUGAUUUUCAGUUUAACAAAUAAUUUAAUAUCGGUGGGAGACAAACCAUCAUUUUGAAAUUAGCGUACUCAAUCAAGAUACAAUCAGGAGUGCAUGGAAUAUAUAGGUUAGACCAUAAUUGCUCCAAAUUAAAUUAUCACUCAUAUUUUCAUUUGUGCGGCCCAAUUUUCUUAAAAAGCUCCAAAGUUGACAAACUUCUUGCGAGCGGCAUUCUCUGGAGUAGGGAAAAUUUGGUGUUUAAUUUGACUUCAACCAAUGUAAAGCGUUACCUUGCAUUUGAUAUUCUUACGUUGCAGCGAAGUGAGAAUUUUCUUUAGCUCCAUUUGGUCCGACUUUUAAGAAAUGUUUUUGGAAAAAUGUAAAUAUCUUUAAGUUAAAGAAAUUUUCUAAAAUGCAAAUAAUAUUUAGUAAAUUAUAAUUUUAAAAUACAUUGGAAAAUGAUUUUAACUUAAAUGUCGUUUAAUAAAAAUUAUAUUUUGUAAAUGACUUUUCCUAAUUUUAAAAAAAAAAGUUUAAAAUAUUUCCUUAUGGAGGUCAGUCGCCGUCGGUCAAAAUAGUCAUUGGACAGCCUUUAGGCGAUGCCUAACGGUCCCACAAGCUCAGGCGAUGAUCGCUGCCGUGCUCUUGCUUGGUGGUCAUAGACCUCCGUUUGGCUUCUCCGAGCGAAGCAUGGAGAAGAUGAACAGUAUGGACGAGAUUAAGACUUAUGUUUCAAGAAUGCUACUUUCUAAAGGACCUCCAAACCUUUGAAUCCACAAAUUAAAUGCUUUUCUUGCUCUUUUACGAGGAGAGAAGAGAGAUAAAAAUAAAGCACAAAAAGAAAAAUAUUUGCACCGCCAAAAUCCAUCCUGCUGUAUACGCCUCUUGGUCACAACUUGGGCGUAUCUUCUGUGCAAACGUGGCAAACAAGAUGGGUUCUGAUUAUCAACACGUGUCCAAGUAGGGCCCGAGUAGUUAGACGAUUUUGAAUUCUCUCAUCUCUCUCUCUUCGUUGCCCUCUCUCUCCCACCAAGCCCUCGGCCGACCGACGAACUUCGCGAUGAUGGAGGUAACCUUUCGAGGGGGGGGCGGAGGCCGCACGAUGGUUCGUUGGACGAGGGCUCAGUUUGACUCGGAGGGAGAGAGAGAGAGGGCAUAGUCGGAACCUCUCCAGAGAACCCGCUGUGCGGCAGGUUCAGCGUCCCGGAGAGGCUCCCAAGCUCCGCGAGCGCUUCGGGGAGUGACCCAUUGAGCGAGUUGGAGAGACAGGUCCAAGUGGGCGAGGUUACGGAGGUUCUUUUGAUCUGGGUCGGGAUCAGACGGGAGAGCGAGUUUCGGGAGAGGUCGAGGGUCGCACUGAAGAGGCGGGAGCAGACGGGCUUGGAGGAGUCAUCGCCGGCGAGGUUGAGCCGUCUGAGCGAGCCGAGGAGGCCAAGCUCGGAGGGGAUGUAGCGGGAGAGGUUCUUGCCAGCGAGGAAGAGGGAGGCAACUCGGCCGCAAGCGAUGCCGGAGCCGGAGCCGGAGCCGGAGCCGGAGAGGCGGCGCGGUGGAUCAUUGGUCAGAGAGAGCUCGGUGGAAGAGAGAGGUGGCGGGAAGAAAGAGAGAGAGGAGGUGCAUGACGAUCUAGAAUUUCUAUUUUAGAAAUUUUUUUCUUAUUUCAAAAACAUUUUUGGAGCAGAAAUCCGUUUGAUAACAUUAUUUCAUUUUUUCUAUUUCUGAAAUAGAUUUCUAUUUUAGAAAUAUAUUUGAAAUAGAAAUCAGAAGUAGAAAUUAUACUUCUCUAUUUCUGGAACAAAAAUGAGAAAUAAAAUUUUUUCUCAUUGUUCGUCAAUCGGUCCUUCAUCCGUUGCCGCUGAUUACUGUCUGUCAGUCGCCAGCCGUCGGCCGCCCAGCCGCCCGCUGUAGCCGCCGUCGUCCGUCACCGUUAUCCGCUGGUCCGCUGCCGUCCGAAAGGACAAAAUUUUGUGUCGUUAUCAAACAAAUUUUUAUUUUUAGAGUAGAAAUUUUGUGUCAUUAUUAAACAGUUAUUUUUGCUUAGAAAAUUUUCUAUAAAUAAAAAUUGAAAAAUCUAUUUUUGUUCUAGAAACUAUUUCUGAAACAGAAUGGUUAUCAUGCGCAUCCUCAUAUUAUGGGCAAAUUAAUAAAAAUUCUAGUAAUAAAAAGUGGGCACUCUUGGGAAUGGAGACACACUCGACAUGUAGCCGGGGAGUCUCGAAACCAUUUCUUAUAUUUUUUAAUCGAGUCCCAGUAGGACCAUAAGAUCACCAAGGUAGCACCGAGGGUCGCAUAAAUCGGCAUCGGGCUAUACAAGAAGAUUAAUAAGAUCACUAAUAAGAUCAUCGAUGCAUAAAUUAGCAUUGGGCUAUACAAAAAGAUUAAUAAGAUCACUAAUAAGAUCACCGAGACAGCACCUCCACAUAAAUCGGCACCGGGCUAUACAAGAAGAUUAAUAAGAUCAACGCACCACCGGCUAUACAAGAAGGUUAAAAUCAGAAACCCAGGCACCUAAGAGUAAAAUCAUGGUCAGGAGAAAGCCAAGCACUGCGGCCACCGAUCCAAUUCCUCUCAUUACUAAGCUAUCACGCAGUUUGCCUCCAAUAGCAGCUAAAAACCCAAUCAAAUAAACAAUUGCAGUGAUGGGAAUUAGUGCGUCGUUAAUAGAAGUGUUGCUUGUCUUUAGACCCACAAGAGCAAAACUUCCCUGAACGAUCACAUCCCACAAUGAAUCUCCCAGGAUCGUCCAUUUUGGCUUGCUAUGAAGUUAUUGCGUUCGAUCCAAGCGCUGCACGUAGCCUUCCACACACAUUUCUCCCUCCUCAAGAAUAUCAAUAAUGGUAUGUUCAGCAUUCUCAUGGGUGACAAAUGCAUGGUGCUGUCUAUGGAGAAACGUUUCUUUUGAAAAAGACAAGUAAGUCCUUCAAUUAGAAUCCAAUUCUAAUAAUAAUGAAAGAAACUAAAGAAUGAACGGGCAACUUAUAUUAUCUGCUUUACCUUUGCCAUCCUAGGUCUUGACGACAGUCAACGAUCAGACGGGUCGAGGUCAACGGGUUAAUGGGUCGAAUUCGAUUAGAUCAGUCGGGUCGGACGCGCCAGUUGGACUGGUCGGUCGGACCGGCUGGGUCAGACGAACCGACCGGCACGUGCCAUGCACGUGCGCGGCUGACGUCAGUUGGCACGUGUCGUGUGCGUGCGCGGCUAACGUCACGAUGAUGUCAGUUGGCACGUGCCGUGUGCGUGCGCGGCUGACGUCACAAUGAUGUCGUGCGUGCGACGCACGUGCCUGGGCUAAAACGGCACGUGCGAUGCACGUGCAUUGCACGUGCCGAUGACCCCCAUUCGUUCCGGCUGCGCAUGGCAGCAUGUUCAACGGCCCCCGACAGUGAUCCACCACUCAUUUUUCUCGUAUCAACGAGACCUUUGACCCUACGUUAUCAGAAACGAAUUUUGAUUUACAGAAAAUCAAAAAAUGGGGUGACUAGUACGCGGGUGUUGGGAUUUUUCUGUCCUCGAUUGGUUGACGGCGGUGUUUCACGAAAAUUCAAUCAAAAACAAUUCAUAAACAUGAAAAUGGGUCGGAAAACAUGAACGAUGGCUUUGAUACCAAUGUUGGGAAUAACUGAUUCCCUAAAACUAAUCCGAUACACAAUCGAACCUCUAAAACAAAUACGGAAGACAAGCCCAGGAAUCACAUGUAUCACCGAUCAAAGAUACACCACGGAAUCGAGUGUACUUUAUUGUCCAUGAAUUAAACACCAACGUUGAAGUUUGAGAAAGAAUCAUGAUCCUGUUCUACUGAGUGCUAUUGCUAUUAGGGGGAGAAAACUAUGAAAAAGACGUACGUUCUUUUUUCUUGGAACAUUAUGUUGUCUUACGUUGUUUGGAGGGGAAGAAAGUGUUUUCACAUACGUACUCCAAAAUGUACGUUCCUUUUCCUUUUUUACUUUCCCUUGAAGCGUCUCCUCCAAAGGACGCAUUUCUUCAACGUAAAAAUGUUCCUCCAAAAGACACAACCCUUCCUCUAUGGGCCCUUAAUCUACGGGUUGGGUUCUUAGGCCCAACAUGGGCGGACGGGCCUACUUAGGCCCAUCAUCACAAUUAAAAAACCCAUCACCUAGAAGGGUCAAACGGCAGGCCUCCCUCCUGGAAGAGGCCAUUCGAGUGGCGAUGGCUAGAAAGAAGGCCGGGGUGCCUAGAAUCAGGCUAAGGAGGCUCUGAAGUGAUUUCAUCCAAAAAAAUCACCAUGGAAGGAGAUGGCGCGGAUGGGGGUGUAUGGGACAGGUUUGUGUCAAAAGCAGAAGCCAUGUCGCGGAUGGGGUUGUAUGGAAGCCUUAUGGUGAAACUGCUAGGGGCUCCUCCCUUCCUCGACACAUUUCUUUCUUUUAAAAAAAUAAAAAAAUAAAAGAAAACAAGUCUUCGUCUUACGCGUCUUAUCCUAAUCUCAAAAACAUUUAAACAUAAUAAUUAUCAUUCGUGUGUUUAGUCGUAGAGAUUACAUAAGUAUUAAGGUUGUUGGGCGCGAGAGAUGUGAAAAGAAUAAUUCCAAAGAAGAUUCUAGAAAGAAAGAGGAAAGAAACAAAAACAGAUGAAGACGGUCAACACUCAACACCGACCGAUGCCGUCCCCCAAAAAGAGGCUUUACUUGAAUCGUUGAAUUGAUCGUUGAAUUGAUUUUCCCUCGUGGGGUCCUAGUGUCCUUAUAAGAUCCUAAGAUUUGGUUUUUUCAUGUUUGGUUGUUAAAGUAGAGGGAGACGAAUGUUUUCAGUUGUUGGGUCAUUGAAACAUGAAUCUAUUCCAACUUAUAGAUGGUGAACCGAAUUAUAUUGUCAAGAAAGAAAUGGAUUGUUUUAAUGCAACCCAUUAAAAAUGAAUAAUUUUAAAAAUAUUUUUCCUAAAAAAUAAUCACUUGUAUUGUGGGAAAAUUGUUCAAAAAGUCUUAAACCUAUUAUAUUUUUGCCAAUUUAAUCCUAAGCUUUCCAAUUUUGUCAUUGAGUCAUUUCCACCUUUUAUCAAUUAAGUCUAUCCAGCCUUUAAUUGAAAAAUUGCUAACGUGGUAAUUUUUUAAUAGAUUUUUUAAAUAUAUAUUUUAACCUUUUUUUAGUUAAGGCUGAUGAGGGUUUCCGGCCGACCCUCACGGACCCUUGGGCGAGAGCGUUAUAGCCCUCACUAGCUUUAGGCAAGAGUUGCAAUGCCCUAGUCGGCAAAAGCAAGGGCACGUGAACCCUCGACCAGAAUCAUCAGGGCCUCAACACCCUCGUUAGAUCUGGCUAGGCAAGGUUGUCCCGCGCCCUAGCUUUUGCUAGCUAUCCAACCCUAUAAAAAAUAAUAAAAAUCAUAGAAAAAAAUUAAAAUAUCAUUAAAAUAUUAUUAAAAAAGUGCUACGUUAGUGCCGGCUGUCAACAUCAAUAAUUUUUUGUUAAAAUUGGCUGGAUGAACUCAAUUGAUAAAAUGUGAAAAGAUUUAGGACUUCAUUGACAAAAUUGAAAAAUUUAGGAUUAAAUUUAAAAAAAAGGUACAAUAGAUUUAGGACUUUUUGGACAAUUUUCUCCUUAUAUUACUUAAAAUUAAUUAGUUAAUAAAAAUAUUUUUAUCACUGGGAACAAUUUAUAUUUAAAUAUUUUCGUAAAUGAUGAAAAUGUUUUUUGUUUAUUCAUUUUUGUAAGUGAUAUAUACAAUCAUUUAAAAAAAAUGUUUUCUAUAUCAUUCAUUUUCUGCAAAAUAAAAGGAGCUUAAAAGAUUUUUGUACAAUUAUAAUCUUCGCCUUUUCUUUCAAGAGAAAAGGACGUUAUUAACUUUGGGCACUUUGCACCCUCAAUAUCGAAAAUUAACAUUUUAAGACCUAGAAAAACCUAUGUUUUACCAUUUCAUAUAUGCAACGCCUGCAGAAGAAAGGCUAUGAAAAUCAAGAAUUAGAUAUUGCAUAAUGUAGAUUUCUAUUGAACCCUCGCGAUGCAAAGUGCAAAAAUGUAGAGCCUUAAUUCAGAUAUUGAGAAGCAUAAUUUUUGAAAGGGUUUUUACCAAUAAAUUCAUAAAUAGCACACUUAUGACAUAUUUACGUCAAAUAAAUUUUCAUCUAAAAAGAAUGUACGAAAUAGAAAUCACAUGAUGUAUUUUCCCAAAUUAAUUUUUAUUUCACAAAAUCCCUGAUCUAUUAGUUAGCAUUCCAUUCAUUAUCCUGUUAACAUCCAUAUGUUUCAACACACUUGGUAGACGAUUGUAAGGCAAAUCUUAUAGUGAGAAUGUCAUAAUUGACGUGGAAAAUUUCACAUGUAUGGACAUGUAGGCAUUUUAAUAAAAUAUAGACUUAGAUCAAGAGUACAAGUUUAGCAUUUUCGGUUGAACAAAAAUUAGUUUAGCAGCAAAUGUAUCGCACGGUGCCAGUUGGGCCUUUUUAAUGAACUUAACCCUUUCCGAAAUGUAAUUUUUUUUUUUCAAUUUUCUCUAGUUAAAGAAGGGCAGCUCACAACCUGAAAGAGAAAACAAAGAAAAGAAAUAGAGAACAAAGGGGAAAUUCAUUUGGAGGCCCAUGUGUCAAGUCCAACUCCGACUCAACACACCAUGGGCUUUCCUCUUGGGCUUAAUCCAAUUCCAGACAGCUCCGAAAAGGGAGACAAAGGAAAAUGUCCUUCUUCUUCCCCGUCGUUCUUGGCAACGCUUCGACCGAUCGAACUUCCAGCGCCGCGCAGCGUUCCCUCCGCCGUCGUCGUUCGGCGGCUCUUCCUCGACACUCCGAGCUUCAGUCCACGUCCGAAGCCCGACUCUUCAGGUCCUUUCUCUCUCUCUCGCGUGAAUUGUCGGCCUCGGUUGUUUAUCAGGCAGUAACCUCAGCUUGUGAGCUGGUCGCGGAGGUUCCGCAUCGUCCUUCAUUUAACGCAUUGAUGGAGUCAAAUUCGGAAGGCCCUCAAGUUUUUCCUUCCGUAUUCGCUUCUCCGAUAGAAUUUUCAUCGCCUGCCUUGCUGUUUUCCUUCGUUGUGCAGUUUAUUGAUUUGCUUAAUCUUGUGCUGAAUGGAUUCCGAGUGUUAGUGUAGUGAGUGAGGGCAAGGCCUGGUUCAUGGUGUUGGUUUUUGGUUCGGUUCUUUGCCUUGUAAGUCUGUAAAUGAAGAAGCUUCAAUCUUUACUUCUUAAAACCAAAUCCCGUGUCUUUGCAGAGUUUUCUUUCCAAUCAUCAGCUGGGCAUCUUUGCCUUGAUAUAUUGUUAGUUGUUGCAAUCUUCCUGAUGGCAACUACGGCUUCUUCGCCACCUCUGCAUAUUUUAGGUACUGAAAAGUCUCUAUCUUGAUGCUCGUCCUGUGACUUGACGAUUCGAACUUGACUUGUGUUGGUACAACUUGCUUUCUAGUUCGCGAACCGGAGGGGUUCUCUCUGUGGAAUGGACCCCCAUUUGCUAAUGGUCAACCCAGUGUCAAGCUCGAUAGGACUCCGUGCACAAGCACCAUGUUCAGCACAGAUGGGUCCAGGCUGAUGGUGAUAAGGUCCGACUCCGCGGUUGGCGUGUAUGACUGCAGCAACUUCAAGGAAAUCAGGAAUUUUGAGAUCCCCAAUUUGGUCACGGCAGCAUUGUCCCCGUGUGGGACCUAUCUCCAGACUUUCCAGAAAUCCUCAACGCCACAGGAGAAGAAUGUGAUCUUGUGGAAAGUUGAGUCUGGGGAGUCUGUUUAUCAGCUACUCCAGAAGAACAUAACUAAAACGACAUGGUACAUGAUAUUAGUCAGGAUCAUCAGUUGGUCAAUGAUAGAUUACUCAUGAUAGUGCGUACGCAUUAUAUAGUGUUGCACCAUUAAUUUUCCUCAUUUAUGUGCAUUGCCUCUCCAUAUUUUCACUACUUAAUGGUUUGUGUGCUGCUCUCCAGGCCC